rnacentral:rRNA from 1 species
UGCCAGCAGCCGCGGUAAUACGAGGGGUCCUAGCGUUGUUCGGAAUUAUUGGGCGUAAAGCGGGUGCAGGCGGUUUAGUAAGUCAGAAGUGAAAGCCCAGGGCUCAACCCUGGAAGUGCUUUUGAUACUGCUAAACUUGAGUGUGGGAGAGGUUGUUAGAAUUCCUGGUGUAGUGGUGAAAUACGUAGAUAUCAGGAGGAAUACCGGUGAGGAAGCUGGAUGACUGGCCCAACACUGACGCUCAGACCCGAAAGCGUGGGGAGCAAACAGGAUUAGAUA